CCUACGGGAGGCAGCAGUGGGGAAUAUUGCACAAUGGGGGGAACCCUGAUGCAGCGACGCCGCGUGGGUGAAGGAGUAUUUCGGUAUGUAAAGCCCUAUCAGCAGGGAAGAACAAUGACGGUACCUGACUAAGAAGCACCGGCUAAAUACGGGCCAGCAGCCGCGGUAAUACGUAGGGUGCAAGCGUUAGUCGGAUUUACUGGGCGUAAAGGGAGCGCAGGCGGCGCGUUAAGCCUGGUGUGAAAGCCCGCGGCCUAACCGCGGGACUGCAUUGGGAACUGGCGAGCUAGAGUGCCGGAGGGGGAGGCGGAAUUCCUAGUGUAGCGGUGAAAUGCGUAGAUAUUAGGAGGAACACCAGUGGCGAAGGCGGCCCCCUGGACGGUGACUGACGCUGAGGCUCGAAAGCGUGGGGAGCAAACAGGAUUAGAUACCCUAGUAGUC
rnacentral:rRNA from 1 species